AGUGAACGCUGGCGGUAGGCCUAACACAUGCAAGUCGAACGGCAGCACAGUAAGAGCUUGCUCUUACGGGUGGCGAGUGGCGGACGGGUGAGGAAUACAUCGGAAUCUACUUUUUCGUGGGGGAUAACGUAGGGAAACUUACGCUAAUACCGCAUACGACCUACGGGGGAAAGCAGGGGAUCUUCGGACCUUGCGCGAUUGAAUGAGCCGAUGCCGGAUUAGCUGGUUGGCGGGGUAAAGGCCCACCAAGGCGGCGAUCCGUAGCUGGUCUGAGAGGAUGGUCGGCCGCACUGGAGGUGGGACACGGUCCAGGCUCCUACGGGAGGCAGCAGUGGGGUAUGUUGGACAAUGGGCGGAAGCCUGAUCCAGCCGUCCCGCGUGGGUGAAGAAGGCCUUCGGGUUGUAAAGCCCUUUUGUUGGGGAAGAAAAGCAGCAGGUUAAUACCCCGCUGUUCUGACGGUACCCAAAGAAUAAGCACCGGCUAACUUCGUG
rnacentral:rRNA from 1 species